UACGUAGGGGCCAAGCGUUGUCCGGAAUUAUUGGGCGUAAAGAGCGCGUAGGCGGUCCGAUAAGUCGGCUGUGAAAGUCAGGGGCUCAACCCUUGAAAGCCGGCCGAUACUGUCGGACUAGAGUCCGGAAGAGGCAAGUGGAAUUCCCGGUGUAGCGGUGAAAUGCGCAGAUAUCGGGAGGAACACCAAUGGCGAAGGCAGCUUGCUGGGACGGUACUGACGCUGAGGCGCGAAAGCUAGGGGAGCAAACGGG
rnacentral:rRNA from 1 species